AAAAAAAAAAAAAAAAAAAACGGAACAAACGAACGAAUCCUCCCUCUUAAAAUUAGGUCAUAUUUUCAUCACUGGCGAUUUCUCUCCCUCUUUUUUUUCAGAUCUGAUUUCCCUCCUUCAUUUCUUCUUUUCUUCUUCUGAUCUCUCCGAGCUGUGCACCUAAGAGAAGAGGAAGUGAACCAAAAUGUUUAGAUUCGAACAGGAGAAGAUCAGGAAACGAAUUUGAUUUCCGUUCCCUUCCAGGAAUUCACAUCUAAGUGAAGUUGAUUCUCAGG
rnacentral:misc_RNA from 1 species